CCUACGGGAGGCAGCAGUGAGGAAUAUUGGACAAUGGGCGCAAGCCUGAUCCAGCCACGCCGCGUGCAGGAAGAAGGUCCUAUGGAUUGUAAACUGCUUUUAUACAGGAAGAAACACCUCUACGUGUAGAGACUUGACGGUACUGUAUGAAUAAGGACCGGCUAACUCCGUGCCAGCAGCCGCGGUAAU
rnacentral:rRNA from 1 species